CUGAGAUGAGACUUCAUGGAAGGGGCUACAAAGUACAGUCUAAAGGCCUAGAUAAAGUUUGAAACUUGAUUUAGAAAGUCAUGAAAAGCCACUCAGAGUUUUAAGCAAAGAGUGAUGGGGCAGCAAUGGCUGUGCAUUUUUCAGGUUGAAAGUAGUGAGAUGUCAGUUCUUCCUGGAAGAUAUCAUGAGAAUGCACACAAAACUGAACAUUUUCUCAGCAGCAAGGAGUGCUAAAGGGUGCACACUCCAAGUCAACAACUCACCGUGUGCAGCACCUUCCUCACACAUUUUGCUUUGCUUUCUGUCACAGGACCAUCAGACGUAGAACGUCCUGACUCUCCUGAAUUACUAGAAUGUCAGCAACAAACUCACAAAGUAGAUUAGAGGGUAGGAAUAGAUACAUAAAUUUUUAAAAACCUGCCAAUCAUACUGUUUUCUAGACAGUAAUAUAAUAAGAACAUGAGGCAGGACAUCCACAAAUAGUAGAGAAUAAUUAAUAGUCCAGAACUGCCAAAUAGGAAUUCCCCUUAUGAAAACACCCUUGCAGCUAAUCAGGUAGCCCUUGUUUAGAAACCAAUUAGCACUCAUAAAAUAUUUGUACAAGGAGUGAGUGGGGGAGAAAUGAGCACAAUAUGGGUUCUGCCAUCAAUCAGCUUAUAAUACAACUAAAGAAAGAAAACAUGCUCAAAGCACCAUUAGAGAAAGGGUGAGCCCUAAUGACAUAGUUUCACAUUCAAUAUGGUAGGAGUUGAAACAAGGGAGAAAUGCUGUGGUUUGAAGUGGUUCAACAAGGUAGGAUUUCUAGAGAAAGGGGGGUUUAGGAGUUAGAUAAGUAGAGGAUCAGCAUUCUAGGUAUGAAGGCAGGAUUAUCUGGCAUGUGGCAGGGUGAAUGAUGUUAAUCAGUAACUGCUAAUUGAUAUUUACUGAGCAGCUGCUGUGUCCUCACGAUGGUAAGACUAUUAGAGGAAGACAGCCCACCUGCCUAACUGGGAACACAAGGCACACAUAUAUUGGAAAGAUCAUGUUGCACAAAACAGGUGUUCAAUAAAUAAUUUUUGAAUAAAUGUGAACACUGAAUAGCAAAUAAAUGUUAUAGAUCGUAAUAGUUGUAGAAGAUUGGUUGGGAUUGUAGGGACUGGAUGUGGGGCAAUGGCUGUGGGUCUAGAGUAUAUUCAUUGUGCAGUGGACACACACCUAAUCUGUCCUCAAGGACAGAACCAUGUGGAGGAAUAGGAAAACAAGAGAAGCAGGCAAGAAGCGGAGGCAGUGAGUACAGCAGCUAAGAAAUGUUACAUUGGGUUCAUCCAGAGCAAGAAAAGCUGAGAGCUGUCCGUGAGGGAAGGCCACACAGGCAAGAGGAGUGGGACAGGGGAGUAAAGGAGUGGGCUACAACAGGCCCUGCAGAUGUGGAAGCCAGACCCACAGAGGCACUUAGAAAGUGAGGAUCCUGGAUGAAUUAUUUUAGGGAGAAAGUGUAGGUUUAGAUCAGCUGGCAGAUGUGUUUGUGGGCUACAGCCAAGUUUUUCAGGACUAAGAAGGAGCAAAAUAAGUAGAACUUCUUGGGACAGGAGAUCUAGGGUACUCCAGAACCAGGGAAAUGAGAAACAAGAGGGGAAUUUUAAGAAAGAGAGGGAAGAUCAUCUAUGAGGUUGGAGAUGAAAGGUGUUGGAGAUGGUGAGGCACAAGUCAAAAGACUCACUCGAAGGGCAGGAACUCUGCUUAUUUGUCCAUAUUCCCAGAGUUUGUCAUGAGGUCUGGCCCACGUGGGCAGUCACUCGGCCACUAUGUAUCACUGUGGCUGCCAUGGUGGAUGGAGGCUGGACAGAACCUGUGGUGAUCGGCAGUCUUUCUGGAGGACUCACCAGGGAGGGGUCUCAGGGUGGGCAUCUCCUUUCACCUUCCUGUGCAUGUCACUGCACUGUUCUUCUUCCCUCCCUGAACAGCACACACACUGCAUCCUUAGUUUCAGGGGUCUGAAAACAAAUGCUACGACCACCUUGCUUUGGUGGCUUUUCUGAACAGGCAUUGUGAGAAGAGAUGUUCUGGCCAGGUGAAAGUGGACUUUAUUUUUAGGUAGGUUUUUCAGUUUAGAAAGGUUUCCUUUGCUUAUCCCUUGAGGACUUCUGUGCUGCUGCUUCUCCUCCAUCUUGCUAGUUAACAGAACAGGGGCAGAAGUGACACCAAUGCUCUCGGCCAUGCCUGCCUUGGGAAGCACUACCGGGCCCCACUGUUUAGAAUCUUAGAUGGAAAUGUACACAAGGCAUUGACACACGCCUGCGGGAGUGACCCAGUGCUUCCCUCCCAUGGGACUCAGGGUCAGCGUGGGAAGGCAGCUGGCAGGGACAGGAGCCCCGCCCGCAAGGUGGACUGAGCCUCACUUCCACACAAAACCAGAGUCCCAUCUGCCCCAGAGCGCUCGCUCUCCUCCCCUUCCUUCCGCUCAAUGCAGCCUGACACGCCUUUGACCAGAACUGCAACAUUUCAAACACAAACCCAGAUCUGUUGGGAAAUCCUAAUUAAAAACGUUGCAUUCCCAGGUGGCACAAUCACAUCCUGCCUAAAACUUCUGGCCCACAUCCCACCACCCAGAUGUUGAAAAGAAACCUUUCUCUGCUUAACACCAAAACCUGCACUUCAAGGUUUCUUUAGGGGACAAAGAAAAAAAAAGUACACACAUGCAGAGUUCAGCCUACAUGUUCAUUGAGGAAAAAGAGCGUGGCUUAUUCAUCUUUCAAUCUUUUGAUUGUUGGCAUUAUGAUUAUGAUUAUGAUUAAUUACUCUGACCUGACAGGAAUUGAAGAAGAGACUAUAUGCUGGUGCUCUGAAAUGAUCUACCCAACUCUGUCAUCUGUAACAACCAGUGAUAACUCUCUUGUCUUGUAAAAAGGGUUUGUACAUAACUUGUACAUGGUUUCAUUUUGUAUUUUUCGCAGAUUAAAAAUUUAUGUAUUUGUGUUCU
rnacentral:lncRNA from 10 species